rnacentral:rRNA from 1 species
UACGAAGGGGGCUAGCGUUGUCCGGAAUUACUGGGCGUAAAGCGCGCGCAGGCGGUUCUCCAAGUCAGUGGUGAAAGCCCGGAGCUCAACUCCGGAACUGCCAUUGAAACUGUUGAACUUGAGGACGAGAGAGGUGAGUGGAAUUCCCAGUGUAGAGGUGAAAUUCGUAGAUAUUGGGAAGAACACCGGUGGCGAAGGCGGCUCACUGGCUCGUUUCUGACGCUCAGGCGCGACAGCGUGGGGAUCAAACAGG